rnacentral:sRNA from 1 species
GGACCCGAAGCACUUAGAGGGCCAGGGC